CUAAAAUUCACAACAAUCUUUAGAAAGGAAAAGGAACAUGAAUUAAGGCUAAAAACAGGUAAAUGAUAAAGAAAAAAAUCAGUAGGAAGUUUGGGAUUCAUAACUGAUCUUUCUCCAAGAAUAUUACCCAAGGUUAGAAAUGACCACCAACCCAGGAUGAAAUGCCUGGCUGCUGAUCCUGGCUCUGCUGCUUACUGCUUCUGUUACCUUUAUAAAAUCUCCCAUCUUUUCUGUAGGUCAGUCUCUGCAUUGAUAAAGAAGAGAUAAUACUGCUUGGUGUGGUAGCAAUGCCUGUACUCCAAGGGGGCGCUGGAGACUGAGGCAGGAGGUAGUCAAGUUCAAAAUCAGCCUCAACAACUUAGCAAGGCACUCAGUAACUUAGCAAGAUCUUGUCUCAAAAUAAAAUAACACUCAUUUCAAAGAACAGGAAACUUGAGUGGUCAGAAACAGACAUGGAAAGAUGUUGCAUAGUCAAUGCAUUAACAAACAAAGAAAUGCAAUGUGUGAAACUACCAUGAGAUGCCAUUUCAUACUGAACAAAUUGGCAUAUAUUAAAAUGUGAUGGUUUCAAGGACUGUGGAGUAAUAAGCAAUCUGAGACUUGGUGGGAGUAAAUUCUGGAGCAAUCACUUUGGGAACAAAUUUGGUAUUACCCAAUAAGAUUAAACAUGCAAUACUGUGAACCAAUAAUUCUGCUAGUUAUUUAGCAAAUGUAUUCUAAGAUACUAGAUAAUUUGUUUUAAAAAGCAAUGUUUGAAACAGCAAGAACAUGGAAAACAGUCACAAUAUUUAUAAUAAUAAAACAGACAAAUCAAUUGAUGAAUAUUAAUUCAAUGAGGUUCUGUACACCUAGAAAGUGAAUGAUCCACAGAUACAUGAAUCAGCAUGGGUCAAUCCCAACUACAUGACAUUGAGAAAAAUUUGCUACUUCAAGGAAUUUAUACAGUUUGAUUUCUAUUUUGAUACAUUGUAUAGAAAUGUAUAUUAUAACCCUUUAUCUAUUUUGAUAGAUUGUGUAGAAAUGUAUAUUAUAACCCUUUAUUUCUAAGGUCGAGUGGGACAUUCUUUCCCCUUUAAAUGGAUAGAUCCUUUACAUAUAGUUCUCUGUAUGGUGUGUUUUAUGAUUACUAUAUGGACUGUACAUGCUCAAUAACUAUUACUAGUGUUUUAAGAAUAUGCAGUUGAAGGUUUUUCAAUGUCAAGUGAAUGUUUAUAGAGUCCCUCUCUCAGUCUUGUAAUUUAAGCAUACUACAGUGAAAUAGAAAGUUAAUGUCUCAAGGAAAUAUUGUUGGAAUCAGUUCAUAGGAGUAUUUGUGUGAAGACACAUUGAAUAGAACUGGCAUGCUGCUAAAUACUAUUUUCUUAAUAUCUAUAAAGUAGUUCUUUAUAACAUUUCAAAUAUUUUACAAACCAUGAUGGAAAAUAUAAUCCUGGAAAAGCUCAACUGAACAGAGAAAAAGCAAACAGAUAUUGACAUGAAAUAUUUAUAGAAAGAAUAUAGUCAGAGGGAAACCACCAACAUUUUCUAGAAACCUAGAACUUUGCAAAUCAAUGAACUUUAGCAUCAUGUUAGUGGAUUUCAGGGUUCUUCUGAAAUGAAUGGAUACUGACAGAAAUCAGCACUGGGGAAAGAUGGAGAGACCCAAAGACUCUCAGGACUCUGCAAUCUUUAUAACUGCAUGGACCAUCAUAUAGGAGAGAGGGCGGGGCACCAAGAAGAAUGAAAGGAAAGAUCAGAGUGUUCUUUUAGCAUUUAAUUUCACAAGCACCUCUGGAGUUUCCCUUCAGAGUUGUCUCUUGACACUCCACUUUUUGCCAUUUAACAUAUAGAGUAGGACUACUUUUCCAUUUUUUUUUCCUUCCACCCUCUGAAUUCCCAACAGAGGUAGAGGCUGCACAGAAACUGGGGAUGUUCAAGGAGUUGGGGACUUAUGGGGGAUGGCUAGGAGCAGGCCUGUGGAGGUGGAAACUGCCACAGGUGCUUCAGUAAUGGCUUUCCUUACCUAAAACACAUAUAGCAGUGAUGCUGAAGGGGUUCCACCAUCUCCUUGCAGAAGUUGGGGACAUUACAGAGAGAGCAGCACGUUUCCCAAUCAUGGCAGAGCUACUAACGCAACAAGGUGGUUUGUUGUUGACUUUGUUUCUUUCCUUUAUUUUUUGGUUUUCACACAAUUUUCUGAAACUCCAUCGAAGCCACACAAUUUUAAUGCCAGUUUCAGAAACACAAAGGGCUUGUGAGAGUGUGAUGAAGGUAGGGUGGUUGUAUUUUGUUGCUGUUGUAGGACAAGGGGUCCCCAUAUUUAGAGUCACAUUGUCCAAAAUAUAAAAGCAAAUAACAAAAUAUCCACAAAAUACACUGGAAAUAAUCCUGGAAAAAAUUCACAAAUGUUUCUGAUAUUGGACAAAUGUCUUAACCAUUGUUCUUUUUUUUUUUCUCUUCCCAAUUUUAUUUUAUUUUAUUUUUUUAUUGGUUGUUCAAAACAUUACAAAGCUCACGACAUAUCAUCUUUCAUACAUUUGAUUCAAAUGAGUUAUGAACUCCCCUUUUUACCCCAAAUACAAAUUGCUGAAUCACAUCAGUUACACAUUCACAAUUUUUACAUAAUGCCAUAUUAGUGACUGUUGUAUUCUGCUGCCUUUCCUAUCCCCUACUAUCCCCCUCCCCUCCCCUCCCCUCCCAUCUUCCCUCUCUACCUCAUCUGCUGUUGUUCAGUUCUCUCCCUUGUUUCC
rnacentral:lncRNA from 1 species